rnacentral:lncRNA from 1 species
CUGCUGGCACCGCCCGCCACCGCCAGCACCCUGCCCCCUCCCCCGCCCGCGCGGACUUCCUCCUCCGCAAGCUGUCAACAAAGGAGAAGCAGCCCUGAUAGGGAUCCUGGGCAUCUGGUGAGAGGUUUCGGGAUUCUGGAUGACAAUGUCUCGGUGCCCUCAAGGCCACUGAUUCCUCGCCACACAGUCUCAGUAACUCCGCAGCCUCUAGACACGGCUUUCCGGAAGCGGCCUGCAAGCUGGACCCCAGCGAGUUCGCAGGAUCUGCGUAGUCCCUGCUCGCGAUUAGAGCGCACACGAGUUUACUCCUGUCCAAGUAUUCUGAUAAGCUUCCUCUACUGCCCUCUCGUGGCCACAGUCCUCAGUGGUAUAAAUCUAAAAAACAACAAAAAUCACUGCGAAUACCUAAAAGCAAUUGCACCAAAUUCUUAGAGCAGUAGCGGCAGAAGAAACGAAGGGAGGGAAGGAUGAAGAAAGGGAGCCGGAGAAAAGAGAGAGAGAGAGGAAGAAGAAAAGGAAAUCUAGACUAACCAGUCAUCUCGAACAAUCGCACAUUCAACACAGGACUGGGGGAUCUAGGCUUUACUCCAACAUCUGCAGAAAUCAGCGAAUUCUUCAAAAGUUCUUCAUUGUAAUUAGCUGAAAUUUGUGUUCCUGUAACUUUCACUGGCUACUGCUAGUUUUGUCCUGUGGGACCACAAAGAAUCUGUCUAAGCUGUGUUGCCUGAUCCAUACCUGUUCUUUCCUUCAAACUUCUUUAGCAUUCAUUGUUGGUAACACACCAAUAAAUUAUCAUAUUUACCCUGUGU